rnacentral:lncRNA from 1 species
GGGAAACAAUGUAAUCUUUGGAUACUCUCUUUUAUUGAAACUCUUGAUUAUUUAUAUGGUCUCCAUAUGUUUUGAUUUAUAAUUGUUGGGUUAUCAUCUGUGCUUGAGGCCUUUAUCGUUUAACUCAUUCGGUAACUGAUGUUUGUCUUUAUUGAUAUGGGGAGGUACAAUAAUGNCAUGAACUGGUGAGUAAUUUCUUUAUUUUGCAAUACCACCUAGGGAUAGGGGUAGGACGAUCAAUUGCGCUAAUUUCUGUUUAUAAUGCGGUAUUAAUUGCUAGGGGAGGCUAGGGAUAGCAAGCCAGUAAUUAAUAUUAGGCUCUUUUCGCCGAGGGAUCGGGUUAAGGGGAGGCUAAGAAAGUCGCAUAACAAUUAAUUAAUCAAACUAAUAUUCAAGAGGAGUAGAUAAGAGAGAGCGGAUUAGAUGAAAUUAUAAACCCCUAACAACAUUCAUUCAUCCAUUGUUUUCUUUUGUCAAUUGAAUCAACUUUAUUUUGCAUGUUAAUAUUUGUGUUCUCAAAUCCAAUUUAUUAAUUAUUAUUCUCAAGUCUUAUUAUUUUAAUUCACGCGAACGAGAAAGCCAUUCGAGUCUCUUGGGAAAACGGUACUUGGUCUUACCAUUUAUAUUACUUGUACGAUUUGGUACGCUUGCCAAUUUGUCAACACACAUAUGCCUUGGCUUGACUCUAUUUGAUGUUUCUUUAUUCAUGUGCAUGUUUGAAAGUGAUAAAGGCGUUUUUUUGUUGAGCCUCUCUAGCUAAAUGAGCCUACCCUAUUUUGAUCCAUUGAUGACCCCUUUUGAGCCUAUGCUUCUCCAAUUUCUUCGUUUUGAAGCUCAUACACUAGCCCUAAGUGAAAAACCAUGAUUACCUUAACCGUAGGAAAUUUUGGAGCUUUGGAAUUGUUUUGGGAAUAAGUGUG